UGGAUUUGUCAAGUGCUUGAACUUGAAUUAUGUAUAGAGGGUGAGAGGAUGCACAAUAUAGUACAGCGCUGAAUCAUAAGUACAAAAUGGCUCCAUUGAGGGGGAGUGUUAUGAGCACUGGACCUAUUUUGUACGUGCGUGGAGUAUUAUGCAACAUUGACGCAAUAACACAUCACCCUCAGGCGUCCCUUACCCCGAGGGAACAAAGAGAGGUCAGUCAGAGGUCAGUGUGCUGGUCAGUAACGACGCAACCGUUCUUUUUUUGUAAAAGUGCCUUUGUUCUUUCAUUAAAGUUCUUGUUAAUACAAAUCCUGUG
rnacentral:lncRNA from 1 species